GGGGCUGAUUCUGGAUUCGACGGGAUUUGCGAAACCCAAGGUGCAUGCCGAGGGGCGGUUGGCCUCGUAAAAAGCCGCAAAAAAUAGUCGCAAACGACGAAAACUACGCUUUAGCAGCUUAAUAACCUGCUUAGAGCCCUCUCUCCCUAGCCUCCGCUCUUAGGACGGGGAUCAAGAGAGGUCAAACCCAAAAGAGAUCGCGUGGGAAGCCCUGCCUGGGGUUGAAGCGUUAAAAUUUAAUCAGGCUAGUUUGUUAGUGGCGUGUCCGUCCGCAGCUGGCAAGCGAAUGUAAAGACUGACUAAGCAUGUAGUACCGAGGAUGUAGGAAUUUCGGACGCGGGUUCAACUCCCGCCAGCUCCACCA
rnacentral:tmRNA from 1 species